rnacentral:rRNA from 1 species
UACGUAGGGUGCGAGCGUUGUCCGGAAUUAUUGGGCGUAAAGAGCUCGUAGGCGGUUUGUCGCGUCGGCUGUGAAAACUCGGGGCUCAACCCCGAGCCUGCAGUCGAUACGGGCAAACUAGAGUGUGGUAGGGGAGACUGGAAUUCCUGGUGUAGCGGUGAAAUGCGCAGAUAUCAGGAGGAACACCGGUGGCGAAGGCGGGUCUCUGGGCCGAUACUGACGCUGAGGAGCGAAAGCGUGGGGAGCGAACAGG